GUCUUAUAUCGGAAAGAUAGUCUUCAAGCUCUGAGAUUCAUUUCUCUACUUGGUCUCUUCUGCUAUUGAUACUUGUGAUUGCCUUGUGAAUCUCUCGUGUUGUGUUUUUCAGCUAUAUCAGGUCAGUUAUCCUCCUUUCUAUACUGGCUAUUCUUGUUACCAUCUCCCAUAUUAUUUUAUCAUGAUUCUUAGCUUCUUUGCAUUGGGUUAGAACAUGCUCCUUUAGUGAAGUUCAUUAUUACCCACCUUCUGAAGCCUCCUUCUGUCAGUUCAGCCAUCUCAGCCUCAGCCCACUUCCAUGCCCUUUCUGGAGAGGUGUUGCAGUCAUUUGGAGGAGAAGCAGCAUUCUGUCUUUUUGGGGUUUCAUCAUUUUUGCAUUGAUUUUUUUUCUCAUCUUUACGGGCUUAUCCUCCUUCAAUCUUUCAGGUUGCUGACCUUUGAAUGGGUUUUUUACGGGGUCUUUUUUGUUGAUGCUGUUGUUGUUGCUUUUUAUAUGUUUGUUUUUCUUUUGUCAGGCCACCUUCCAUAGGGCUGUUGUGGUUUGCUGGGGUCUCGCUCCAGACUGUAGUCACUUCUGUUUCUUUUGCACCUGGAGGUAUCAUCAGUGAAGUCUGCAAAACAGCAAAAAUGGCAGCCUGCUCCUUCCUCUGGGAACUCAGUCCCAGGGUGGGACCAAACUGAUGCCACCUGAAUGCUCCUGUCGGAGAUGUCCAGAAACCCCGUUGGGAGGUAUCACCCAGCCAGGAGAAAUGGGGUCAGGGACCCAUUUGGAGAAGCAGUCUGGCUUCCCCUUGGCAGAGUGGGUGCACUGUGCUGAGGGAAACACCUCUUGACCAGCAGAGCCAGCAGGCUAGAAAGGCUAAGUCGAUUGAACCACAGAGACUGCAGCCACCCCUCCCCUUAGAAGCUGCAUCCCAGGGAGAGAUCAGAGCUCUGGUCCUGCUUGGAUUCCCUGGAGCCAGCAGGCUAGAACAGCUGACUCCAACUGCGGAGAUGGAUUUCCCUCCAGUUGGGAAUUUGGUCCAUCUCAGGCAGUCCCCAACCUGCUGUUGCUGGCGAGCUGGAAUUCCAAGCCAGUGGGUCUUAAUUUGUGAGGUGCUGUGGGAAUGGGGCCUGCAGAAUGACACUGCAUGGCUCCCUGGAUUCAGUCCCCUUCUUAGGGAAAUGCAUGGCUGGAUCUCCUACCCCAUCAGAAUUCCCGGAGAUGGAGUGUGCAGAACUGGAUCUCCAUGCAUGCCCAAGUGGCCACUUCCCUGAGACUGCAUCGUUCUGUGCUUCAGAACCAAGGCCCUGGUGGCAUGGGCUCAUGAGAGGAUCUCCUGAUCUGCAGGUUGCAAAGAUCCGUGGUAAGAAUGUGGCUUCCCCGGCAGGGCUGCACAAUCACUCAGUGCUUUUCUUGGCUCGGGGUGGGGACUUCCCUGGCUCCAUACACCUUCUGGAUGGGCCACCACCCCACCCUGCUUUUCCUUGCUUUCCAUGGGUCAAGACCUCUGCCUAGUCAGUCCCAAUGUGAGAACCUGGAUACCUCCGUUGAAGGUGCAAAAUUCACUCACUGUUUUCCUUCCUCUCUCCGUGAGAGCUAUGGACUGCCGCUGCUUCUCAUCAGCCAUCCUGGCCUGCUCCUCAAUUUUUUUCAACUUAACUAAAAAAUUAUUUUUAAGCAGAAAGUUAACACAGUUGAACGUAUACUAAAAAUCAUUUCUAACUUGAAAUAAGUGUCAGUUGAAAUCUUAAAUAAGUUUUUUAUUUACCCUUAUCUUAGUUGCUUGGAAUCUGCCCGACAUAUAUGUGGUUCAGAGAUUUGGGCAGAAUAUAUACACGGAAUCUGGGGCUCCACUUUCAUGUCUCUCUGCUUUCUAGAAUUUCUCUCAUUACUUUCCAGCUCUUAUGGCUGCCUUGAACUCUAUCUUCAGGUUCUUUCAGCAGUAAAUCUUAAUUUUCUAGCUGAGUUUUAACCCACAUGAUGUGACACAGACUGAUGGGACUGCCUCUAGAUUAAACAUGAAAAAACAAGAAACCCUCUGUGUUCUCUUUCUGUAAGUGUCAACUCCCCACAGUUUCUGUCCGCUUUUUGGUCACUUCACAGUGCCUUCAUCAAAUGGUUUUUUAAUAUUUGGUCCAGAAUUUAGCAUUGUUUUCUGCAAAAAUGUUUGUCUAUUAAGUGCCACUUGGUCAUAACCUAAAAACUCCAAUUUCUGUUCUAAGUAGUUUAUACCUGUUGACUUAUUAAUUCUCACUACCCGAUCAAUACUAUGAAAUAGGCCAUUUUAUAGAUAAAAGUGCUGAGGCACAGAGAAAUUGAGUGACUUGCCCAAGAUCAUGCAAGUAAAUAUAGACGCUCCAGAGUGUGACCUUCCAACAUUUCUUGAAGUUAAAUGUUAGCAGUGGACACAGAAACAGGAGGACAGAUGUGAAAACUGUAAGAAAUUAGAAUGUCUCCAAUUCUAAUUGUCACAUGGAGAGACAAGUAUGAGGGUGUGAUGGAAAGGGAAGGAUGUAAGUGCUUUCUAGGUUUUUGGUUUGAGCAGUGGGGUAAAUGGUGAUAAAAUUCGGUGAUGAAAACUAGAGGAACACAGAUUUUGUUGUUGGAGGGGGUAUUUUAGACUUGGCAAAUUUGAGAUUCUGUUAGACAUUCGAAUGGAGUUGUUCAGUCGACUGUCAGGAAUAUGAGUCUGGAGCUCGGGGUUAGAGCUAGAUUCACAGCUUUGGUAGACACUAGCGUAAGCGUGUCCUUUAAAGCCACUGGAUUGGAUGAGAUAACUAGACAAAAGUACAGAUGGAGAAAAGCAGAAAAAAAUUCCAGAAGCACUCGAGAGAUUGCAUAGCAUUUAGAAAAAGAAAGUAAGAAAAAGCAGCCAGUAAUUCUGAAGGUAAAUCAGGAGAAUGUAGUGUCACGGACGCCAAGAGAAGAGAAAGAUUUCAGAAGGAGUUGAUGAUGUACAUGAAAUUCUGCUGAAAGAUUUAGAAAGGAUAAAUUUUAUCAUUUGUAAAGAAAUAAAUAUCAAAACCAAGGUGGCUUACUAGAAGAAAACCCCAGCUUGGUUUAUUUGCUCCUGGACCCAUAAAGGACUAAGCUACUGAGGAACUUUCUACUAUUCCUAACUGAAGUUGGAAAUCAGGCUGGAUCCAGGUGCCUUUUGGCCCUUCCUUAAACUUUGUCAUUUUCUAUAAGCCUGUGCUUCAACAGAACCUAUUUCCAUCUAUGCUUUGCUAAUAGUAACAACUCUACUUCCUGACCCAUUUCUAUAAGCAAAUUAUUUUGGCUCUGGCUUUGAAUAAUGUUGUCAGUUAAACCCUGAUUCCUUCUCUUUAUUCAGGGCUUUAUCCUAAGAAUGCUCGGGAAUCCUGAGUCCCAGCCCAGUGUCAGUUUGGAACAUAAAUUUCCUGCCUGUCUCUGCAGGACAAAUGCUGCUCUGCCAGUUUUUUUGUGGCUUUGUUCCACUGUAUCUCUGCAGUGGCCAAAGGUAGCAUCAUGUCCUGGUGCCCUCUGAUGCAGCCUGCCACUUGCUCAGCUGCACCCUGGCAUAUAGCCCUGUGUACUGGGGUUCUCUGUGACGGUCCUUUUCGGAUUAGAAGUGCUUUAUAAUAAACUGGUGACUGUGCUUAUUUGGCUGUUGAAAAGGGAGUUCCUUUUAAAAAGGAAACUUAGUCCUUUGAAAAAUCACACACACACAUUUUAAAAUUUUCUAGAUAGUGUUUUUUACUUUUGAAGGUCACCUGAGGGUGAAGGGGUUGAGGGACAUUUUCUUGAGCUGUUUACUCUGCAUUAAAUGUCCUUCCCUCUUUCUCCUUAUCUCAUACAUCCCUGCUUUCAAGGUCCAGCUGAAGUCCCAGCCACCCUGUGAACCUUUUCUUAUCACCCUUGCCUUGGAGAUUUGCCCUUUCUCUGUGCUCUAGUAACACAGAAUGACUGCAUUAGCUUUUUCAAACUUAGCCUGUACUGCCUGUCUGUUAAGUAGAAGCUUCGUUUUCCCAGUUAGACUAUCAGCUUUGUUCUUGUAUUCACUUAUUUAUAGGCUUUGGAGUAAGAGUGGCUGGAACCCUAUCUCUAUCACUUGUGAGUUGUAUGACCUUGUUCAAGCCACUUCCAUCGCUAUGCCUUAGGCUCCUUCUCUGUUCAAUGUAAACAUAGUACCCGUCUUUUAGAGUUGCUGGAAAGAUUAAAUGAAAUAAUACACGCAAUGUGUGUAGUACAAUGCCUGGCACAUAGUUAGGGUUCAAUAAUUCAUAUAUUUUAUACUCUUGAAAUUUAACUACUGCAUAGUUAAAAGAACUGGUGAAACAGUUAUGAGACAGGUAAUAGUCUACAGAAAUGGUUUCUGCUCUACCAAACCCAGCAGGGAGGCAGAGGGCAAGAGAGUCAAUCGAAGCACAACAGGAAAUUGUUUUUGCCCAGUAGAAUUCACAUUCUAGGAUUUAAUAACUAACUAGCCAAUCGUUUAUUUAAAUAUGAAUCUUUUCAGAAGUAUAGGGUGCUACAAAAAUAUCUGCCUCCCCUUGAAAGUUUUGGGAAGAUUCCCCUAAGGAAGUGGUAAAUGAAUUUAGAUCUUAAAAGGAAUGGGUAUGAACCAGUUGAUUGUCAGGAAGUAUAUUCUUGGUAAAGGGAAGAGCAUGUGUGGGGACUUUGAGCUGGAGGGAAGCGUGGAGCAUCUGAGGACCUGAGAGAUGGCCAGUGUGGCUGGAGCGUGAUGGCUGAAUGAGAAGAGAGGUCUGUAGAAGCCAGGCCUGCAUUUUAUGUGUCAUUUUCCUAAUAUCUUGUGCCUAUACAUUAAGGAGCUUGUUCAUACUCGUUAAUGAUUUAGUUUGUGUGGAUGCUGGUUCAUCUAAUUCUUUUAGAUACCAGAAGAAAGUUGUUUUCUGGGUAUAUGGUAUAUCGAUAAGAGUCUGGUCAGGAAAACAGAAACUGCAUUGGGCGUUUCAACAGUGAGAAUUUAAGAAGCUGGUUAAACAGGACUGGAGAAAUAACAACCCAAAGAAGAGAUGCUGAGAUCACAAAGAGAGAGUGACUAUAAGAAGCUGCUACCUCUCCAGAUCAGAAUCUGGAGCUUUGUCUUCAUUACCUCUCUCUCAAGCAUCCAGUCUCUCACAAAGUCCUGUCUUCACAGCCCAGAGAGCUAAAACACAGAUCCUUGUAUGUGUCAGUGGGUGGAGGGCAGGAGGUGCCGGCCUGGGUGCUGCCCAGCACGUGCUGGUAACUCAGGAGCUCAGAAGAGCCGGGAAGACUUCCCAGCUAGUGCUGGUACCUGUACCUCUAAGAGGGCACAUUCAGAUGAGUUCAUAGAAUACUGAAAUAAAAGAGGAGACAGAAGCCAAUUGCCCAUCCCCGGAUGCAGAGCCAUUGCUAAGGUGAUGAUAGGAACAGGAAGAAAGCAAGAAGGAGCCAGCCAUUAACCUCCCUCUAGCGGCCACUACUGGCGGGAGCUGACAGGGAGUCAGCAGGUGAAGCUGAUUUGCAGUCCCAGACCCAGUAUCACAUAAUGAAGAUAUGAGGGGUGAAAAAGAAGAAUGGAGAAGGUAGGCUUCGAUAGCCAGAUGUGGAGGGUGACAUGGUCUUGCUUUGGAUAAAGUUUGACUCUCUCAUUUCUGCCUUUCAACAUGCAUUAUUUUCACAGUCUUUGCAGAAAAAAAGUAUUUUAUUAACUCAUUAACUCUUUGGAAAAUAAUGAACAUAAUUUCUUUUGCUAAUGCAGAAACAUAGGGGAAACGUUUUUGUAAUUUUUAUGUCACUCCAGUCUCUGAUUGGAGAUAUAUUUAUCUCUAUCUCUAUCUAGAUAGAGAUAGAGAUAGAAAUGUUCACACAUACAGACGUAUACACAUAUGUAUUUAUUUUUAAAAUUGUUGAAAAAGAACCAAAAUUUGUAAGUUCUCACUGUUGGACUUAAAGCUGUAGGAAACUAGACUAUGCAUUCAUGAAAAGGAGACCGAGGAUCAUUAUAAAGGUUGGUUUCAGGCCCUGAAGAGUCCUGCCAUCCCAGAUCUCUGAACUCCAGGGAAAACCCUAUAUUUCUACCAUUCCAUUGGUGAUUGAUCGCAAACCCCCUGGGGUUUGGAGAAUCACAUGUAUUUUUCCUCCCAGCCUCUGCUAUAGGUUUUCAUUGGCUGUUGAAGCUGAACAGGAACCACCAAAAGCUCUACCCAGAGACCUGUUUAUCAUCCCCCACCCCAUAGUGUGAAAGAUUUUUGUCACCUAAACCACAAACAAUAUGUUAUAAAUCAUUUCUCAAUAUUUUUAAAUAAAAAUAUUUUUAAAAGUUAGAUAUUGUUUCAGUACCAAGUUGACUGACUUCCAAGCACAAGCAACAGAUGUUCUCCUCAUCCCAAGCAAUUCUAACAAAGAUUAAACUGUGAUUUUAAUUUGAUAUUGUGGAACAUUAAAAAUAAUUGUUGGACUCCCCAAUACUGCUUUUAAGUACCUCAGGAGACACAGGCUUAGGUAUAAUUUUUUUUCAUGUGUACCAUAUUAAAAGAUACAUUUGCAUGGAAGAUCUAUUUACUGCAAAAGUGUGGCUUUUGGCCAAUUCCUCUUAAUUCAUGACAGUGCUUGAUUUCAGUACUGUAGUUCUUUGAUAUCGACUCCCCUGUGUCUCCAGUGAAUUUGUGAAAUAAGCACCUUGACUGGCGUGGAAGGAGCUGUUACUACAAACUUUUCAUAUAAAAGGAACAUUGAAAUGCUACUUAUCUAAUUGGCUCAUUGUCUCAAAUAUUCAUUUCCUAGAAAUAAUCCUUUGUUCUUAUCCAUAAUAAUUGAAACCUUAUGGUUUUAUUUUACCUGCUUUCUUUGUUCUAAUUUUCAGCAUUAAAAAGCAAUGAUCGCUUUGGCAAAAAAUAAUUCCUGCAGAUCAUUAUUUUGUGGCCAGUCCUACCUGGCCUAUGAGUUCUGCUGUAGUGCCAUGUGUUUUGAUAUUGUUACUUAAAUCAACACCAACAGAAUUACUGGCAAUCACAAACAAAGGUCUAACAAUUCAGUGUUCAGUUGCAGAGUAAAAUGCAUUUUAAAAAAUUAAGACUUCAAAGAAAGAUGGAAAUAACUAUAUGAUAAACAGAUAAACAUGUUUAUUUCUCAAAAAUUUGAGUUUGUUAUAGAUUCCUUAAAAAAUUGCCUUGUUAUCAGUUUUUAAAAAUAAAUUAUGCAUUAUUUAUGUGUUUGCUUUUCUGCUGGUAACAGUAUUUCUGUGACAAACAAAACAAUAAAAAACAAAAAACCUACAAUGCAAACAUAAACCUUUGAUGAGGCUUGGAAUUCUUUCUACUCUAAUAUGCCUAACAUUUGCCUUCUGCUCAUUGGUUCAAUUAUGGAUUUGAAAGACUGAUUCUCAAAAGCUGAUUCUGUAUGCUUUGCUUUCCAGUAGAUAUUUUGCCAAACAGGUCUGGAUUUUGCCAGUUGUAGAGUUGCAUACUUUAACAUUAAUGUGUAAACAGGUAACUUUUAUUAACUUAGUCAAACAGAAACAUUGACCGCAAUUAUGAAACAUGGUUACUAUUUUUUAAGUAAGUAACAAACUUAAAACAACAUUAAAAGAUGUUAAUAAAAACCUAAGUAGAGUUUUGUACCUUCAUUGAUGAUCCUUAGCUACUGUCAAUCAAACUUCAUCUCUAGUCUAUUUUUAGUCUGGAAAGAAACUGCUUAUCCUUAACUUGCCCAGAGAUUCUUCUGGGGCUUUUCUACUAUGCUGAGAUUUUAAUAACGUUGCUAGAUAGUUUUUCAUUUUUGUUACAAGAUUUAACUUCCUUAUUGAGUCAAUCUUUUGACUGUCUUCAGCUUCCCCUGUUAUCGCUACUUAGUUCUCUUGUGAACCUAAGUGCCAUGCACCUAAUCUCUUACUUUCUCCUAAAUGGGGUAAAAAUUGUCAUUGUGACUCACAAAGCUGCUGCUGAUGGACGGAAAUUACAGGUGUGAUGUACUUCUCAGUAGGAGCACACCAACUUAGCAAUCACAUUUCCCCUCUCAACUCUGCAUAAACUUACUAGUUUUAUUUGCCCCUUCUUUAAAAAAAAAACUAUUUUGAGCUACUUUUCUUUUUCCUUGGCAAACUGCUCAGUUGGGUGCCUGUAAAAUGAAUUGUACAUCAAAUACAUUCCAUAGCAAUCCUCACAUGCAUGCUUUAUUAUGGUUUAUUUCUGGUCUUACCUAGACAAUAUACUCUAAGUUAAAACAUCUAAGUAAUAUCAAAAUGUAACUUUCAGAAACACACUGGAACUCUCUAGGGAGUCAACAAAAAUGCAAAGUAAUUUUAAAACAAAUUCACAUAUUAGGGAAAAUAAUAACUAUGUAUAAUGGUGCUUUCUAUGGCUAGUAAAAGGAAGCCCCUUAUAAUAGCCCUUGGUAGGCAGACUGUUUUGGCGGGGAGGAGGUAGUAAAUUUUGCAUAAGGGCCAAAGAGGCUCCUAGGACUAAAGACUCAAGAAACUGACCUCAUCUCUUUUGAGUUUUAAUAUUAUUAGACUAUCACUGGUAGACAGAAUUCAGCAAACUGAAGACUCCAAAAUCUCCUAAGAAAUGUGCAGAAGUAGUGUCCCAGUCUUAACACCGGGUUUGCAUGUUGAUGGCACAUGUCUGCAAUACGUGGAUAUGGUAGAAGCUAUUCUUUACUAAGCCAGGCGUAUGCUUGGAAUCAUGUUUUAGCUGCAAUGAUGGAAUAUGUGACUGUGACUUAAAACAACUGCAGCAAGGAUCAGCAAGGAAAUCACUGCAGCUGGACAAGCAUCCGCUGGGCACCUAGUGCUCAGUAACUAUGUCAAUGUAGUUGCUACUUAGCAAGUAUGCUACUGGUCUCAUUAGACUCCCUGGUUCUCUCUACUUGGUUUGGAAGUAGAAAUGACCACUUGGGGCUGAAUAAGCAGUAAGAUACUUGUACAAUUAACAACAAGCAGUGGUUUCUAAAGGAAAAUACUGGACUUGCUAAUAAGUAAUUAGUAUUAUAAUGGCAAAAUAACUUUGUAUUUUGAGCUGAUAAAGAAGGUCAUAUUGGUAACAUAUGUUUGAAAAUGUUAAGAUGAUCAUAAUUUUCUCUGAACUUCCAUAGUUAGGGCAUUUAUCGUUUUUGUUAUAUUAAAAUUAUUUUUUUCAAACGUCUUAUGACUCCAAAUUUGGAUUAUUGAAGGCCAUGACUUAUCUUUAUAUCAAUCCUUGCCUUCUUUCCCAUUGUAGUACAGCAGAAUGCCUUGUGCAAAGUAGAAACUAAAUUAACUAAGUAAGUAUUAAAUCAUAAAGUGAGACAAUACAUUAGAAACACUGAAAAUAUUUCAAAUACUGAAAAUUCAUUUUUUUCAUGAAUAGUAUUUCUUUUUUUCAAGAAAGAAUUUUUUUUGCAACUAAAGUUUGAGAUAAUUGCUAUGUUGGUAAGAUGCACAGAGAAAUAGUUUCAGGAGCCAGACCUAGGUACAAAAGCAAAACAAUAGCGGCUCAUAGAGAAAUUCUGAUUUAUAUUUUGAGCUUAUUGCUGUAUCUUUUUUAGAAGUCUUUUGUUUUCAGUUCUUUGAUUUCCUUGUUGGUUGUGUUUGCAUUUACAUAUUUUAUUUUAUGCUAUGUUAAAAUGUGCCUCUGUGGAUUUAUUGUCAACAUUUAGUUUUUAAAAAUUUAUAUUCUACUCUUGUAAAAGUUCGUAUUCUGCUAAUGAAACAAACUAUGGUGUAGCAAGAUUUUCAUAUAGUUCCAUUGUAGAAAUAAAUUAUCUUCUAUUCUUUUCAAUUUUGAAGAAAUGUAGAGUAUAAGAAUAAAUUCAGUGAUUGAUAGGUGUGGGAAAGAGAGUGAGGCAUUUGAAUGUGACAUUGCUAUUGUCUUCCAAUAUUUAUUCUCCUUCUCUUAGCAAUAGAACCUCUUAUUUUUAGACAAGCGCAUAUCUGCUAAGAAUUAAGACUGCACUUCUUAUCCUCAUUUGCAGCCAUGUGUGGCCAUUCGCCCAACCUCUGGUCAGUGGAAUGUGAAUGAAAGCAUGCGGCUUCCAGCAAAGGCACCUAAAGUGUCUGUGGAGUAGGAGGGGGAGUCAUGUCCUCGUUCCUCUCUUUUUCUAACAAAGGUUGGCGACAUCUUGGGCAAGGAGGCGAAUUUGUGAAUGGAAGCCUAGUCUUAUGCACUGUGGCACUCCAAACUAGCCCUGGACAAUCUAAUUCCGGUUUUUAUGAGAGGAAAAAACAAACUCUCAAUUUGCUUCAGCCACUAUUGUAUUAGGUAUUAGGUAUUCUAUUUUUUGCAAAAAAAAUAAUCCCAACUGAAACUCCAUUAUUGGAAAUUUGGAGGCUGAUGUUAGUAUUCUGCUCUUAAAGUAAUAUUAUUUAAUUCUGUAAAUUGGGACUCCUUCUUGAAGAUCUCAACUGCUUGAUUGUCCUAGCAGUUGGAAUGUUGAAAUGGAAGUCAGUGCGUAGUAUGGGGUAAAUUUUUAAUGCUGUUAUUUAAGUUUCUGUAUCCACAAUG